GGCCAGAUAGCUUAGUUGGUUUUGAGCACCUGACCGAAGUUUCAGGGGGUCCGGGUUCGAAUCCCGGUCUGGUCC